rnacentral:rRNA from 1 species
GACGAACGCUGGCGGCGUGCCUAAUACAUGCAAGUCGAGCGAGACUCUUCGGAGUCUAGCGGCGGACGGGUGAGUAACACGUGGGCAACCUGCCUGUAAGACUGGGAUAACACCGGGAACCGGUGCUAAUACCGGAUAAUCCUUUUCUUCUCAUGAGGAAAAGCUGAAAGUCGGUUUCGGCUGACACUUACAGAUGGGCCCGCGGCGCAUUAGCUAGUUGGUGAGGUAACGGCUCACCAAGGCGACGAUGCGUAGCCGACCUGAGAGGGUGAUCGGCCACACUGGGACUGAGACACGGCCCAGACUCCUACGGGAGGCAGCAGUAGGGAAUCUUCCACAAUGGACGAAAGUCUGAUGGAGCAACGCCGCGUGAGCGAUGAAGGCCUUCGGGUCGUAAAGCUCUGUUGUUAGGGAAGAACAAGUACCGGAGUAACUGCCGGUACCUUGACGGUACCUAACCAGAAAGCCACGGCUAACUACGUGCCAGCCGCCGCCGUAAUAC